CCAAAAAUGGCCCCACAAAUGACAUUUAUUAAUUGUGUUUGGGGUCUAUUAAUGGGGCUUUGGGGUCUAUUAAUUUGGGCUUUGGAGUCUAUUAAUUGGGUUUGGGGGCUAUUAAUUGGAUUUUGGGGUCUAUUAAUUGGGUUUGGGGGUCUAUUAAUUUGGU